rnacentral:rRNA from 1 species
GAUCCUGGCUCAGGAUGAACGCUGGCGGCGCGCCUAACACAUGCAAGUCGAACGGCACCCCUCUCCGGAGGGAAGCGAGUGGCGAACGGCUGAGUAACACGUGGAGAACCUGCCCCCUCCCCCGGAAUAACCGCCCGAAAGGACGGGUAAUACCGGAUACCCCGGGGUGCCGCAUGGCACCCCGGCUAAAGCCCCGACGGGAGGGGAUGGCUCCGCGGCCCAUCAGGUAGACGGCGGGGUGACGGCCCACCGUGCCGACAACGGGUAGCCGGGUUGAGAGACCG